UCUUUGAAAACAUUUUAUAUUAUUGCAACAAAUUCAUUAUUACUCGUAGGCAUCGCCAUGAAGCUUUUCUUGGUUCUACUCCCUUUCUUUGCUAUGACUACAUCCGGAAUUCAUUGUGCCACCAACUGCUCGCUAGCCUGCAACAGAAUGUACUGGCCCCAUUGUGGUUUUGCCCAUGACUGUAAUUUGGAAGCAGACAAUGCGUGUAUUUUGGGCUAUGAGAUCUGCAGACGUGGGAAAACUAAUAUGCCACGGAAGCUAAGAUCAUAAACCUCAAAAAUAUUAAACUUGUUUCAAUAGAAUUUGCCUCAGCAUUUGAAAGAACAGCCGCUAAAGAGUGUCCCACCAAUAAACCCAAAUGCCGACGUGUAGAUCCGUAAUGAGAAGAUGGUAUCUUUGGGAUUGGAAGUUGUAGAACAGAACCCCAUCGCAUCGAAAUAUUCAGUUGCAAAAAAUGUAUUUCUGUACCGAGCAUUCACAUUUGAAAAAAAGCAACCCAUGCAAAAGGAAAUAUUAUUUUUACUGCAUGAAAUUAAUUAUUAAUUUUGCGCCAUUUAACGACUCAAUUUUGAUCUAUAAAGCCCGCUUGCAUGAC